UUUUUUUUUUUUUGCUUUUUAGGGCCGCACCUGCGGCACAUGGAUGUUCCCAGGCUAGGGGUCUAAUUGGAGAUGUAGCUGCUAGCCUAUGCCGCAGCCACAGCAAUGCCAGAUCUGAGCCGCCUCUGUGACCUACACCACAGCUCAUGGCAAUGUGGGAUCCUUAACCCACUGAGCGAGGCCAGGGAUCGAACCUGCAACCUCAUGGUUCCUAGCCGGAUUUGUUUCCGCUGCGCCAUGACAGGAACUCCUGAUUUGUGUUGUAUUUUAGAUUCCAUGUAUAAGUGAUAUAUAAUAUUUGUCUUUCCCUUUCUGACUUACUUCACUUAGUAUGGUAAUCUCUGGGUCCAUCCACAUUUUUGCAAGUGGCACUAUCUCAUUCUUUUUUAUGGCUGAAAAAAUAUAUAUGUAUAUUUAUAUAUAUCAUUAUAUAUAUUACAUAUUUUUUAUCCAUCUGUCGAUGGCCAUUUAAUUCAUUCCUAUGUCUUGGUUAUUGUGAACAGUGCUGCUAUGAACACAGGGGGGUACAUGAAUGUUUUUGAAUUACAGUUUUGUCUGGAUAUAUGCCCAGGAGUAGGAUUGCUGUCAAGAUCCUUAAUUUAAUCAGAACCACAGAGUUCCCAGCCCAUCUGCAAGUCAGAGGGUCAAGGGAUCCACAUGCUGCAGCCCAUAGGGAGGAAAAUGGAUUGAGGGUGGGGACGGGGUGGAGCACAUGGAGAAGAACAAGCCUACUGGAGCCUUGCCACUCAAGGUGUGGUCUGCCACCAUCAGCAUCACCUGGAACUGCUGGAGAUGCAGGGUCUCAGGUGCUUCUUCAGCCCUACUAUAUCAGAACCUGUAUUACUAUCAUUAUUAUUUUUACAAGAUCACCAGAGGAUGUGUGGGCAUAGUGGAGAUGCACUGAACUGGAUGAUUUCCAUGUGGAGAGAAAGGCUGUUGGAAAUUAUACCCAUGCUUGGGUCAGUUCACAUCUGCAGACAGGGCUUUGGGAAUCACCUGCCAUCACAAGAAUAGCCACAAAGAGUAAGAAAAAGCCAAAAACUGGAGCUCAAAGAACAAGACAAGCGUCAUCCCAUAAGGUCUUGAAAACAGCUUUGGAUAUUCUUAGACAUUGCACCUACCAAAACCGAGUUUGUGAAAUCCCCAGCAUAUGGUAAAUCCAUCAAACUGGGAAGAGAAAGGAAAAAAAAUGUAAAGGAAGCAAACUCUAAAAUUAAAGUCUGUUCGGGAGGUGACAGAUGUCUGGGUCCUGAUAGAUUUCUAGACUUGUAAAAAGUAGGGUUUUUUUUCAUCUUCAUUCAUAUAUGUUUGAUCAUUGCUUCCCCUAUUACCAUUAAUUUUUUUCUCACAGGAAAAGAAAUUUCCUUCCUUCUAAAGGGUGCGUUCUUGCAAGUGUUAUUUGAUAUAAAGUCUUUAGAAAAUUCUAACAAAGUUUUGAGUUAUGGACAGGAAAGCCUCCGAGUGUCAGCUAUACAAAUGAGCCUCUUGCAGCGCCCUAUUGUGAAUUGACUUAUUGGGUAUAACUUUUCCAGGUUUGAAAGUGGGCUAAGAGCUCUGUUUGGAACCACAGAAUUCCUAUCUUUAGAUAUAAGAAUAAACCAUCGAGUUUUUGCUAAGGGUAAGUUAAAAUACAUGUUUUGGUUCAAGGUGUUAAUUAUGUUUGAGUUUUAGGCUCUAGAAGGAACAUUCUGUUCCAGGCAUGUGGAUUUAGUGGGGAAAAGCAAGGCUUUGGAAUCACACAGUCUUGAGUUUGUUUCUGGAUUUAUUACCUACUGGUAGGAUUU
rnacentral:lncRNA from 1 species